GAGCAGCUUUACCGGGGCCACGCCCUCAUUGAAUGGCUGAGCUCCAUCAUACCGGUUAGCGAUCCUGAGCUUUCCGUUUUCAUCCACAAAGCCAUGUUUGCGAUCUUUGAUGAUGUGAAAAUACCCUUCUGAAUAAGCCAGAACUUUUUGGAUCUUAUCGGAUUCUUUUAUGAUCUCCCUUCCAUUCUGGUCUACUAACGAUACGAAUUCACCGGCUCUCAAUUCAAAAUAAUCAUCAAACUGCCUGAUCUCCUGAUAUA
rnacentral:misc_RNA from 1 species